UAAUCAUAAAGAGGAUUGGAGGGACAUGGCCCUGAGAAGAUCCGCCAACCACCCAUUUUGGAUUUGGUGGCAAUGCCAUGAACUAUGAGGA
rnacentral:ncRNA from 2 species